rnacentral:lncRNA from 1 species
GGGGUGCGAAUGAGUUCUAUUCCUUUUUAAUCUAAUAAGUCUGCCUGCGCUUGUUUCAACAGGCAUUUAAAAGCACUUAAUUGGACUGACAGUGUGUGAGGCGAGAGGAAGAAUUAUGAGUCGAGUUUUUGGCAUGUUGCUACGAGUCGGAAAAGGGUCGAAAAAAGGGGCUAAUUAAUUGAACAACGUAACGUGAAAGGGUUGAGAAAUGAGAUAUGAUCCCUCCCGUCAAGUGACUCGGGUGAAAACACACGUGUGUAACCGAAUUUUGAAACUACAAAACUUUAGGUUUGUCGCUGAUGAGUCCGUACCUCACGAAGCUUAAAGACAUUAGCAUUAGUGCAACUCAAGAAGACUAGACAGCCUCUCACUGACAGUCAGCGAGGAGCGCAUAUUGCGCUAAUGAGCGAAAACAGGGAUCAACACACUGGAUAACAGCCAGCGUAUGAUUAGAGUUACAUCAUUAAGCAAACUCCCAUAGGAGCCCCGAUUUUUAAAUGGUCCAUCAAAACUGAAACAUCCAGACAAUGUGAGAACGAGCUAAAAUGGUGGAAUAAGGCAAAACCAACGGUAAAUUCUACAGAGCGCUCGAGGCGGAGAUCAAAACCACAGCACCUGGGAUAUCACCGUGACAGCCCGGCAGACCAGACAGAGGUAAAGAGGGGAGGGAGCAGGAGGAGGACGAGAGAGAGGGAGAAGGUCAUCUAAGCAAAGAAGUGCAGGUGAGAAGUAAGGGGUGAGGGAGGCGAAAGGUGCAGGGAGCUGGGCAGAAGAAAGGCCCGGCAUCUUAAACAGCAGCAUAAUAUUUUUGUUUCACUCUGCACCCUCUUCUUUUAUUCAACCUUUACAGCAGAGAUCUUGUGCCUCUGUGUGUAUGUGUGUACGCACGUGUGUGGACCCUUGCUCACCAAACAUGUAACAACUAAAGAAAAAUAUUAAGUACAAAAGCAAGUAACACUUUCUUUCCUUUUAAUUGUUUUAUCCAAUUUAUGUUAUAACUAUAUGAAAUCCCCAUGAAAUCAAUAGAUAAAGCCCCA